rnacentral:rRNA from 1 species
GGCUCAGGAUGAACGCUAGCGGGAGGCCUAACACAUGCAAGCCGAGCGGUAUGGUUCUUUCGGGAACCAGAGAGCGGCGUACGGGUGCGGAACACGUGUGCAACCUGCCUUUAUCUGGGGGAUAGCCUUUCGAAAGGAAGAUUAAUACCCCAUAAUAUUUAGAAUGGCAUCAUUUUAAAUUGAAAACUCCGGUGGAUAGAGAUGGGCACGCGCAAGAUUAGAUAGUUGGUGGGGUAACGGCCUACCAAGUCAGUGAUCUUUAGGGGGCCUGAGAGGGUGAUCCCCCACACUGGUACUGAGACACGGACCAGACUCCUACGGGAGGCAGCAGUGAGGAAUAUUGGACAAUGGGUGCAAGCCUGAUCCAGCCAUCCCGCGUGAAGGACGACGGCCCUAUGGGUUGUAAACUUCUUUUGUACAGGGAUAAACCCAGAUACGUGUAUCUGGCUGAAGGUACUGUACGAAUAAGCACCGGCUAACUCCGUGCCAGCAGCCGCGGUAAUACGGAGGGUGCAAGCGUUAUCCGGAUUUAUUGGGUUUAAAGGGUCCGUAGGCGGAUCAGUAAGUCAGUGGUGAAAUCUCAUAGCUUAACUAUGAAACUGCCAUUGAUACUGCUGGUCUUGAGUAAGGUAGAAGUAGCUGGAAUAAGUAGUGUAGCGGUGAAAUGCAUAGAUAUUACUUAGAACACCAAUUGCGAAGGCAGGUUACUAUGUCUUAACUGACGCUGAUGGACGAAAGCGUGGGGAGC